UAAUUUUCAAGGUAGUAGUUGGACAAAGAAAAAAAUGAAGAAGGUUUGCGACUUUUUCUUUUAUGGUGUCUUUGAGUGUUUAUUAUAUAUAUUAAGCAUUUCAGGCCAUUUAUCUUAUGUGUUCAUAUUUUGUUAGUGGUUUCAACUCAUGUGCUGUGACAGAAUUUGCUAUUCAGUUAUUUUAGACAACAUCGCAUCUUCAUCUUCUCUCUCUUUUACUUUUGCAUGAGAUUGAGAGUUCUCACAAGGCAAAUAGGUUCGCCAUUCAACUUGCAUCUAGAGAGGACGGGAUAAGAUUCGCCUUGUUUCAACUACUCGAGGUUUGAUAGGGGUAUGAAUCACCUUUGGCAAGCCUUUCCUCGUUGACGAGGUAGGUUCAAAGCCUCACAUUAUUAACUUCACCGAGGCGCCUUAGUGUUCACAAAAUUUUGUUUGGCUAUCCGAUGACGUGGCCAAUAAAUGACCCGUGGCUUUUGAGUUUAAUAUGGCCCACAUGUGGCGUCCACAUUAGAUGUAGUAAUAAUGGAUUUUUCCACUUUGUCAGAAGAAAUUUAACAGAUGUAGUGACAUAAUUUAAGGUCACAACAAAUGAUUUGAUGAAAAAUGUAACUGUAUUUAAAUUAGUUCAAUGAUAAAAUAUCGUAUGACAUUAUGUCCAAAUAUACAUAAUUCG
rnacentral:lncRNA from 1 species